CCCAGACGUUAUUGAGAACCGGCUAACGGGUCAGCUCUGAGCUAGGCGCCGUGAGAACGCUUAAUAAGACCGUAUCUUUUCAGGAAGUCUACAGGCGAGACUCAAACUGAGAAACUUAAAGGGUGUGUGUGCGGGGCAAAUCGUAGGGUACCAGGAGACCCAAACCCCAAACUUUGGGGCUCGUCUGUCGGUGACCUUUUCCACCUUUUCUGAUGCUGUGGCUGUGCUGACCUUCGUUAAGCCACUCCCACACAAGAACUCUAGGCUGACCUUCUGCUAUUUGUUUUCACUUCAAGAUUCCCCUUUUGAUGCUUAUUUUAUCCUGAUACCGCCCGAGUGCCGAGAGUGGAGGUGGACGAUGUGAUUUGCAUCUGCAAAAUGCAGAAGAUUUGGGACCCCUCUUGGAACCUUCUUCCAUCCCUAGAUUUCCUGAUAGAUGAUGCUGAAGAUGGAGGAACUGAAGCAUAGAGAUAAGUGACUUGCCCAAAGUCACACAGAUAGUAACUGGAAAAACCAGGACUCAAAUCCAAGCAUCUUAGCUUCAGAACCCAGUGCUUAACUAGCUACACCAAACUGCCUCCUCAAGACGUAAGCACUGGGAAAAAUUGUUCAAUACAUACACAGAACGGACUUGAAGAAGUCUUCUUUUGGCAACAUGACUGAAAUAUAAGCCAAAGAAACAAACAAAGACACACAAAAACAAAGGGAUCUAGUCUCAAAAAUUACUUUUAACAAUAUAUCAACUUUAACUUGAUUGAUCCUUUUAAAAUUCUAUCAAAGACAAAAAAAAAAAAAAGAAAACUACCACUUGCAGAAAUUUAUUACCCAGUCAUUAGAGCCAUUCACUUCCUCAGUUUCUGGGAAAUAUAUAAAAAAGGUCUUACCAAAAUUAAACAUAUCAUUGCUAUUCCUUU